GUUCUGAUUUAAAGAGUACUUUGGUAUGUUUUAAAGCUGAACUACUGUCUUUUCAACUUAUCUUUACUGUUUAAAAAUAUUUUAAACCAUUGACUCAAGGCAAACUAAUAAACACUUAGUAGCGCUGCUUCAACACAGCUUGAGUGCACUAUCUCUUUAUGGCAGGAAGCAACUCCAGAGGGACACCCCUUUCUUAUCUUGGCUGUAUCAAAUGAGAUAGCUCCAGCACUCUCAACAGCGGAAAAUUUCCUGUCAGGAACACACUUCUGGCUGUGUGUUCCUCAUGCCUAAAUUAAAAACAAAUUAUCUGUUUCAUUAGGUUGUCAUGUUGCAUGUAAUACUCCUAAAAUCUAAAAAGCUGCCAAAGAUAACAUUAUGUGGAUUGAGCAUGAAUUGUUUGUUUGGAAUGCUGAUAACUAUUAGCAGGACAAAGACACUGGAAAACAAAAAUUUGUUACUUCAGAGGUGUUUUCUAUUUUCCAUAACACAGAUCUUGCUUCAUUAUCUGAAGACAGUUAACGUGCUUGACAGCUGCUGAGGCUCUUACUGGCUCUACCUCUGAGGCAUAUUUCUUUCCAUCCACUGUGUGCUCUGGGCCUUGCUCAUCAGUUUGGGCCCAAUAGAAAUGAAACUGCCACAGUCUGUAGGUUCCAGCAAGAGAUCCACCAGCCAGCACUGCGAAUGCAUGGAAUAAGUGCAGCACACUACGGGUGACUGACAGGACAACUGGAUUGCUUCUUGAAACCCAACACAACUGGCUUAUGAUUCCUCCCCUGACACCUUUUUAUAAUCCCUAAGCGCACCAUAGUUUUAACUACGACCCUAUCACUGCUGUUAAAUUAUUUAUUUAUUUGUGUACCUCAAUUAAAGUGUAAGCUCCUGGUUCUUACAAUUUUAACUUAAAAACUGUUGAAAACAAUAUCAUUUUUUGCUGUAUGAAUAUUGAUUAAGCAAUAUUAUUAUGAAGGAGCUCUUUGUAAAAACUCACGAAUCAGAAUGCAAAGGAGAAGAAGCAAGUAUCUCUUUGAAUAGACCCUUGCCACUUGUUUUCAUUUCUGACAUUCCAGUGUGGCUGUACAAUUAGCUUUUCUCCAAAUAACUAAAUCUUAGGAGGUAAAGUGAUGCAGCUUAGGAAAAGUGGCUGAUAUCACGGUAUUGGAUAUUGUUGCACAGCACUUUGCAGUCCCCCUUCCACCUAACAAGAAAACAUUUCAAGGUUUUUCAUAACAUCAUGAUAGAAAGAUUUCUGAACUCAAAGAGCACUAAACUUCUUUCCAAAGGAAAAGGUUUUUACAAAUUGCAAUAGGGAUUGAAGUAUGAUAUCUAUAAAUGUAAACUAAAAUAAUAUGAUUUAAAGCAUAUCAUCAUUACUUUUGUGGCUUUUGUGCAAUCCUCCAGAUUACUUGUGGUCCAGGCACUGUGCAAUUACACUAACGCAUUAGAACUCUGGGAAUAAAAUGCUGAAGCAGCAACCACAAAAAAUGUCACAGAAGCACACGGUGUAAGGAGGCUGAGGUAACAAGCAUGGGUGGUAUCAGGCUUCUUAAACACAAGCCUGUAUUCCAUCAAGCACUGAUUAUUGGCUCCACAUUUUAGGCUAUCUACACUCCGCAGGGAACUGUUAGCACCUUUCCAGGAAAGUGGGCUUAAAGAAAUGUGAUAUCCUUGGCAAAACCUUUCCAGUAUAAAUAGAAGUGAAUCCCUGGCUUUCCAAAUCAAUGUGGGCAAAUUUUAAUGUCUAAAGCUCUAAAUCUGCAAACGACUAUAGAUGUGUUUAACUUAUUCAAAGCAAGAUGCCUAUUGACCUUAUAUAUGAGUGUGAAAGUAAACAUGAACAUAGUAUAAGAAUUAACUGAAAAUAGUCUUAUUUUAAGGUCACUCGCCAGAAAAAAGCAGAAAAUAUUUCUGAAAAAUAUUAAAUUGAAAUAACAUGUAAGUUUUUCACCUUUGAAGCAUCAAACACUACAUAUCUUGAGAGUGAAAUUGUUUGUGAAAAAAGUCCUACAGAAUUAUGAAAAAAUUCAGAAAGAUUUCCCCGGCUUCCAUAGUGCUCCUUUUUCGUUAUUGUAUACAGAGAAUCACACAGAAUCAUAGAACUGUAGGGGUUGGAAGGGACCUCCAGAGAUCAUCAAGUCCAACUAAGAUGCCACUGUUUUUGUAAUGCUAUGGUCAGUAUUAAAUAGGACAUCCGAGGUGAUCCUGCCUUAUCAGUAUAGUAGACACUCUUGUGAGAGGAUAGUUGGCAGGUUAUGAAAGCUUUGGAGUUAACUAGAAGGAGGUCACUUCCAAGCCAUCACACAUCACCUGAUCUAAGGAAAAAUUCUAGGGAGAAAAAAAAAACCCCAAAACUCAACAUCAUAUAGUGGAGAUAGUAUGGUAAUAAAUAUACACACUUUAUCAUUUGCAGCUAUACUGAUACAUGAAACAAGCUGCACUGGAAAUGAUGGAGUGGUGCUAUGGUUCUUUUUUUCCUUUUAAUUUUGUCCCUUAAUAUGGAAAAAAGCAUACAUAUCUGCAACAGAAUUAAUCUGGCUUAUAGAUAUAAUACUUAAAAUGAUCUGUCACAAUAGCAGAUUUUAAAUGCCCUACAUUGGACAUUUUCAGCCCUUGUAUUGUCAGAUACUUAAAUAUUUACCAGAAAAAAAGAAACACAAAAUCAAAGCCUGCUGCAACCAGGCUUGCUCUUCUCUUUUGUCUUUCACCUUGAGAAGAAUCCACAGACUUGAGGGCUUGGAGCCAGAAGUUGAAAAUCACAUUUCUGUGCUAGGAAUAUGCUGGAAAUUGUUACCUGUGCAAUAAAUUGUCUGGAUUUGAACCCUUCAGUGGGAGUGGCUAAUAAGUUUAAAUAUAGCUUUGCCUAAUGUUACUGCGAUGGCUUGGGAACAGAUUUGAGCUGCAUGAGUGGAGCAGAUGUUUGUCCAAAGAAUUUUUUAUGCUUCAAGUGUAUUCAGUUUUUGGAGUUCUGUACAACAUAGUAUGUAAAUAAAUACCAAUAAAUACCUCACUGAUCCAUUAUACUACCUACAUUCUGGGAAUUGCAUUAGGCAUAUUCAAGUCUGUGAUUUUGUACAUAAUUUACUGUUGGAUAAAUAAUAAAAUAUGAACACCUUUCAGAGAUCUCCCUAGCUGUGGAAUCUGCAGUGUUCCAAUGAAGCAUCACUUCUGACAGAAGACGUUUGAAGCAGAAGGAAGUAGGGUCACACAGAUCUGCUCUGUGGGAGCUGUGCCCUCUGCUGCCUGCUUGGGCACAGUGAAGAAAUAGCAGUCAGAAGUGUGUAUACCUGUAUACCUUUGAUCUGAAACAUGGGGCAAUUCAUUGACAUCUUUUAAAAUAGUUGUUUUUAGAGGGUGAGGUUUUUUUCUGAAAACAAUUUCUGACACAAGAAUGUUUGUAGGAGUGCUAAUGAAAGUGUUGAUUUAUGUUUUACUGUAAGCUGUAUUGGCAA